rnacentral:lncRNA from 10 species
AUCCCACAAUAUCUGUCCUGCAGUGUGGCCUCUUUUGUUCCGUGGCUCAGUGCACUCUGAGUGCAUGUUCAUGAUGACUAGUCUUCAGUCUCCAUGGUGCACAUCAAUCUCCGUUUGGAUUCCUGCUAGACACCUGAAAUUGUGUCCUGGAGAUGCAUGCGACAACGAGACAGAGAAAUUUGCUGAAAAAACACCACAGAAAAAAACAACUAACACAUCCAACUGUCAAAAAAAAAAAAAAAAUAACCACGCUAACUCCUUUACAACAGACAAUCCAG